rnacentral:tRNA from 1 species
AUGGUGCCCGGGCUCGGAAUCGAACCAAGGACACGGGGAUUUUCAAUCCCCUGCUCUACCGACUGAGCUAUCCGGGC